UACGAAGGGGGCUAGCGUUGCUCGGAAUCACUGGGCGUAAAGGGUGCGUAGGUGGGUCUUUAAGUCAGAGGUGAAAUCCUGGAGCUCAACUCCAGAACUGCCUUUGAUACUGAGGAUCUUGAGUUCGGGAGAGGUGAGUGGAACUGCGAGUGUAGAGGUGAAAUUCGUAGAUAUUCGCAAGAACACCAGUGGCGAAGGCGGCUCACUGGUCCGGUACUGACGCUGAGGUGCGAAAGCGUGGGGAGCAAACAGG
rnacentral:rRNA from 1 species